ACACACACACACACACACACACACACACACACACACACACAGACACGCACGCUAAGAAAAUUAGAAACUGCCAUGCAACAGAGGAUGACGCAUUGUGGUACAUCGCCAUCUGCUUUUAUCAUUCAUUUACUGAGAAUGUUAAAUACACUGAAGGCAACAGCCGUUCUGUAAAAAGAUGGAUCUACCCACGGAUCUUUCGUCCAGGUUAUGGAUGCUUAUUAUUAUUAUUAUUUUUAUGUGGAUUUUGAUCAGCCUCGUCUUCAUCUUGAUCAACAAGUGCAUUUCAAAGGCAGGAAAACUCAGAAUCGCAGAGCUCCAGAGAAUGUCUGGCUUCUCCACCAAGAGCAAUCAAUACCAGGGGGGCGAGUAUGUUUCGGAGAUCCCACCUUUACCUCCUCGGACACAGUUUCUCCUCACAGGCAAGAAACAAAGCACGAUACACACGAGUCAUUUUCACCGAUCCUACACAAGAAGUACUUCUCACUAAACCGGAGGGAGUCUGAAGUGUGUUACACUGUAAACACACAGUAAAACCAGAGGUUUUCUCCACAAGGACCAAAAUCAACAGUGGAGGAAAAAGUCACUUGAGGUUACUUUGAUUGAGAUGUUGAGGACUUCUUCCCUCGCUGGUGUCUGACCAUAAGGCCAAAGGGAUGUGUGAAAUAAGGAAAGCAGUUUAAGAUAAGUGAGUGAUGACGGAUGUGUGAAAUAGUUCUAGCCAUGUAUGAAAUAUGGUUGUAUAUUUUGAUGGAAUCAAACAUAUGUUUAGAGUCAAAGGGUUUCAUAAAAUAAUUAAACAUCUGCCCCACUGUCCAGACUCCAUAUAUCUAGUAAUAAUAAACUGCUUUAAUACAUUUUUUUUUAUUUCAGAGGCCCAAAGUUAUGAGAACCUGGACGCCGCAGAUGAUCAGACUGAUCGGACUGAUCAGACUGAUCAGAUCGUCCACGAGCAGGACGUCCCAGACUACGAGCAGGUUGACCAGGACGUCCCGGACUACGAGCAGGACGUCCCACACUACGAGCAGGACGUCCCAGACUACGAGCAGGUUGACCAGGACGUCCCGGACUGCGAGCAGGACGUCCCAGACUACGAGCAGGUUGACCAGGACGUCCCAGACUGCGAGCAGGACGUCCCGGAGUACGAGCAGGACGUCUCAGACUACGAGCAGGUUGACCAGGACGUCCCAGACUACGAGCAGAUUGACCAGGACGUCGCAGACUACGAGCAGGACAAGCAGUCCGACUCUUUGAAGGCGGUGGGUGAGGACGAGCCUCUCCCUCUGAUUCCACGGUACCCAGAUCUAGAUCCAGCAGCAGACAGUUUCUCAGAGGACGACUACGACGACAUCGGGGGUGAAGAUGAAACCGAGGGGGAAGAGGACUACGACGAUGUGGCUUAGGACCACAAGAGAACGGGAGAGAGAUCAUUCAAGUAAAGACGCUGUCAACCCUCUGGAUCAGAACGAAGUCCCCCGGGCAGGUGGAAGGUUUUCAUGUGUUUCAUAAGUAGAAGGGGUGGUUGUCUGUAGUUAAUGUGUGGUUUUCAAGGACAAAGAAGAGGCAGAACACAUACGUGACUCAUUUUCCAGGCAAAGGAUGUGGUCAGUUUAAUCUACAGGAAUACUUCAUAUUCUAAUCAUCCAUGUUUGUAGCGUCUAAAAAGAACAACCUGCCUGUUUUCAGCUAAGAGGCUUUUUAAAAUAGUUGAUUCCAUUUAAGGGGAAGGAGGAUUUCCUUUAUCUCUUUAUUCAGUUUAUCAGAAACACUCUACAUCCGCAUCUGGACACGUGGUUUUCACUUGGCAGGAAGGGGAUGAAAAACAGUCAUCUGAAAAGAAACUAAAGCCGUCAGCGAAAUGUGGUAGAGAAAACAGUACAAUACAAUUAUGAGUAAGUACAUUAAAUAGGAAAACUUGAGUAAAAAACCUAUUGAUUGGUUUAGAAAGCAGACAAGGCUCAGAGGCAUUUCCUCCUUCUUCUUUUCUGCUGAAUCCCAAGUUUUAGAGACUCUGAUCCCGGUUUGGUUACGACUGCGUCAUCAGUCGAGCCGUCGAAGGCUUAAAAUAACUAUAAAAAAAAAAAAAUGUUUUUAUGCUGCCGUGUGGUUGACGCUGCAUUCUGAUUGUACAGCUGUUGAUUGUUGUUGCGCUUUAUGAGCUUUGACUCACCUGUCAAUGUAGCUGGGUUGCAUUUAAGUAAUUUAGCAUGUUAACAUAGUCCGUGCAUGUAGAAGUCAUGGAGUCGAACUCGCACUUGAGUAUUGUUAAAACAAUCUCUUACCCUGCUUGGAGUAAUGUCACGCUCAUCCUCCGUCUUAUACGUUCCAUCUCCACAGGGGUCGUGUCGGGCCCCUCGGGUGGCAGCAGGCCCUCAGCAGCCUCUCAGCCCGGUCGUCCUCUGUGGAUCCAAACAUUGGAUUCAAAAAGGGAAAGAAUUCUACCAAAAAACAUAGUUAUUUGAUCUCCGUUUAUGAAAAAGCGCCGUUAAGCCAGCAGUUUGGUGACCCACAUACAUAAUCUCUCACACUCUGACCACAUAAUAACAUCCUGCCAGUCAUCAGUCACUGCCUUACGUAGCCCUCGGGAAGUUUUAAUGAAUAUAAGUGGAUUUGAAUGCCUCGGUUUAGGAUUAAGUGAUCUGACGGCGCUCCAAAGAGACAAUGCAGGAAAAGAAAAAGCUGGGGGAAAAAAAAGAGGGGAAAUUUUUUUGGGGGAAAAAAAUCCAGCGAAAACAGGAAGGUCACUGAGGUUAAACAAUUUAAAAAUGUGAAGAAAAAGACAAGAUUCUUUCCUUUUUUCUUUUUUACAGUCUGUGCUGGCAUUGUCCACUGUGCAGCUGAUUGAUGGAAUACUUAACUAAUAAUAUAUUAUUUAGCACAUGAAAAUAUAUUAAAAUGUUUUUUUGAUGGAUUUAACACAUUAUAAUGUACUUGUCAGUGUAUAUUUAGUGUGUAUUAAUGUGCUGUGAUUGCCAACAAUCAUAACCACGUAAGACAGUUAUAUUUUCAUGUAGUUCAGGAAGAGUUUGGAUUGUUUACCACAUUAAUAGAAGGAUUUGUCUUAUAAUUAGGUUCAUAUAGUUAUUGGCUCUCUAACAGAAAACAUUUUCGUAGGAAAAUCUUUCGUUUUUCACAAGGACUUUAAUUUUGAAGAAUCUAAAACGGAAGUGUAGCUGUAGCUAAAGGUGUGGGUUUGAAACAGCAAGCCCACGCUUUCUUUUUUGAAAAUUCGUAUAAAUAUUAGAUUGUGUUGAUAGAUGAGAGGAGACAAUGCUGUUUGAAAAAGAGUUCAAAAGGAAUAUUGACUCCUAAAAAACUUUAUUUUAUGUUAAAAACGUGCAUCUUUAUCAACACUAUUACAGCAACAGAUAGAAAUAUAUAAACGUCCAAUUCGAUUCAAUUUUAAAAAUACCAUCAGAAAUUAUAUGCAAAAAAACAAUAAACAACCACAUACCACGGUGAAAACACAAAUGUACUUUCCGUUACAGUAUUAUCUGUUUUAUCAGAGGCUUAUAUUAUUUUGGGAUAUUUUUAUUGCCUGAUUUUGUUGGUCUCAAUGUUGUCCUGAAAUGUUUUAAUCCCAGUUUAACCACCAAAGGCACUUUGUUUAAAGUAUAACAUGCUGUAUGAAUUUGGUUGAUUAUUAAGAUGAUUGUUCCAAAAUUGUUUUGUGUUUUAUUCACACAAAGAUUUCACGUGUUGUGGAUAAAAUGUUCAAUGUAUUUUAGAAGUGCAGCAUAAUAUUUAGUUUACCUAAGCGUAGUGUGUAGCAACCUGACAUCCUGCCUGUACAGAUAAAACGUGAUUUGCUUUUUAAUAAUAGUUAUGGGAUGCACCAUGAUGUAAUAAAUAAAACGUAACGAUAGAGCUAUUUAUAAAACAAUGCAGUUCCGGUUUUAAAGCUGUAUUUGGUGGUACAAGUGAAAGUUGUUACGUUAAUUGUUGCUAUUGUUACAGUGACUUUCCCCUCUACUGUUUAACAGUUUAAUUUGGUGUGUUUCCUUCCUCCUUAAAUAUGAAUGAUACUAUCUGAACGGUUGUAUGAAUUGUUGGUGUCUUUUCUUAUUAGAAUAAAUUCUUUGCACUCUUUUUUGUCAUUUAUUAUGCUUAGCAAUCAACAUGAGAGAAAAGAAAAAGCAAGUAGCCAUCAGCAAUGAUUAUGAAUAGAAAAUGUUCAGUAAAUAGAACGAAAUAGGCGAAAUACAAA
ensembl:lncRNA